CCUACGGGAGGCAGCAGUAGGGAAUUUUCGGCAAUGGGGGGAACCCUGACCGAGCAACGCCGCGUGAACGAAGAAGUUAUUCGUAAUGUAAAGUUCCUUUAACAGGGAAGAAAGAGAAAUUUGACGGUACCUGAAGAAUAAGCUCCGGCAAACUACGUGCCUGCACCCGCGGUAAUCCGUAGGGAGCGAGCGUUAUCCGGAAGUAUUGGGGGUAAAGGGGGCGUAGAUGGCAUGGUAAGGCUUUGGUAAAAAUGCGGGGCUCAACCCAGUAGGGCAAAAGAUACUGCAAAGCUAGAGUAUGACAGAGGCAAGUGGAACUACAUGUGUAGCAGUAAAAUGCGUAAAUAUAUGUAAGAACACCAGUGGCGAAGGCGGCUUGCUGGGUCGAUACUGACAUUGAGGCACGAAAGCGUGGGGAGCAAACAGGAUUAGAUACCCCUGUAGUC
rnacentral:rRNA from 1 species